rnacentral:rRNA from 1 species
CAAUAGCGUAUAUUCAAGUUGUUGCAGUUAAAGCUCGUAGUUGAAUUUGGCGCUGGUUGUGUGGUUUGGACUAACGUUCAACACUGCAGGAUCGGGCGUUUCCUUCUAGGGAACUAGUGUGCCAUUCAUUUGGUGGGCUAGGGAUCUAGGACUGUUACUUUGAAAAUUAGAGUGUUUAAACAGGCUUACGCUUGAAUACAUUAGCAUGGAAUAACGGAAUAGGACUUUGUCUUAUUUUGUUGGUUUAAGAGACAAAGUAAUGAUUAAUAAGGACGGCUAGGGCAGUUAGUAUUCCACAGUCAGAGGUGAAAUUCUUGGAUUUGUGGAAGACUAACUUCUGCGAAAGCAUUUGUCAGAUACGCACCUAUUAAUCAGGAACGAAAGUUAGGGGAGU